CUGGCGCGACUCGAGUCACGCCAGUCCCUUUGGCGUGACCGAGGGAUAUACAGAAGGGGGCGCCGGCCCCUUCUCCCGCACGCAAGUCACUUCUUCCUCAGGAACGGAGGCAGAACACAAAACCCCCCUGGCGCCCUCUCUCUGCAUUCCAAUCGAUUUGGUGGCCCAAUAGGAAGGGAUUUGAGCGGGAAGAGGUGAAGGAAGGUUAUCGGUAUGACGUCGAACUUAUGGCGCAAGCAAAAGUGGGCACAUAUCGGUAAGCAGUAUCCCGAUGUGAGUUGCAAAGAUGCUCCGGUUCCCCCCUCCCUCCCUGUUCCGACUUGUGACUGUGGUAAGCGAGCCGUGGUUCUUCAGUCGCUGCACGAAGAUACUGCCGGUCGGGCUUACUACCUGUGCUCGGAUUAUCGUGAGUGGGAGAUGUGCUAUUUCUUCCAAUGGAUAGAUGGGCCCGAUAUGUAUGAUCAGAGGAUUCUCUAGGUGAAACGGUUUAGUCAGUAUCCGAAGCCAUUUGAGAAGUUUGUUCGUUGGGUCCCCCCACCACCAAAUCCCCCAAAAUUAACGGAUAAAGAGAAGUGGCAAUUGAAGACUGCACGUGUUGCGGAUCCUCCGUUGUGCAAUUGUGAAAAGCAAAGCGUACUUUGUGAACCUUCUGGGGGGUCGCCUUACUUUCGUUGCGAAGGGAUGACAAGGCGCCAUGGUGCAACAUGUGGUUUUCGGGAUCCUUUGUACGGACCUGACGGUCUAUGGAAAGAUGAAGAAAAAGAUGAAGUGAAGGGGAAAAGGGUUAUAGAACCUUGUGCCCCAAGAAAGUGUCCUUGUGGUGUGAAUGCGAAUCACGGGAUAGUGCCAUCGGAACUUGGAGUGGGGUACUACUGCGGCCAUGUGGUCGGCAACGAUAUGAGAACACGGAAAUGUUCGUGGGAGGAGUAUCUCGAUAAAGGAGUGGUUGAUCAUGAGAUUGCAUGGCGGAGUAAGCGUCCUCGAAACGUGCUGUCAAGCUAUUUGGAUAACAGGAAGAAAGAAACUCGUGAUUACUACCAUGCUUUGUAUCCUCCCAUAAGAAAUAGUACCAUGGCGGGUAAAGAUGUUUCGGCUACAGAGGUAGAAAUAGAAACAAUGAAGGCGCUUGUCGGUAAGUUACCCGUGGUUAUCCCGGACGACGAUAAUGACGAUGUGUUAUAUGAUGGGCUAGACAAUUAGACGGAGCAGCACAAAUUGUCGUGUGUCGCCUAUUUAUGAACGUGAUAUGUAAUCCUCGUCGACGAGGAAUGAAUAUUUGUAUGUCGGACCUAAAUUUAAUGUUUUUUGCUCAA